UGGGGAAUUUUGGACAAUGGGCGAAAGCCUGAUCCAGCAAUGCCGCGUGUGUGAAGAAGGCCUUCGGGUUGUAAAGCACUUUUGUCCGGAAAGAAAUCCUUGGCUCUAAUACAGUCGGGGGAUGACGGUACCGGAAGAAUAAGCACCGGCUAACUACGUGCCAGCAGCCGCGGUAAUACGUAAGGUGCAAGCGUUAAUCGGAAUUACUGGGCGUAAAGCGUGCGCAGGCGGUUUGCUAAGACCGAUGUGAAAUCCCCGGGCUCAACCUGGGAACUGCAUUGGUGACUGGCAGGCUAGAGUAUGGCAGAGGGGGGUAGAAUCCCACGUGUAGCAGUGAAAUGCGUAGAGAUGUGGAGGAAUACCGAUGGCGAAGGCAGCCCCCUGGGCCAAUACUGACGCUCAUGCACGAAAGCGUGGGGAGCAAACAGGAUUAGAUACCCUGGUAGUCCACGCCUUAAACGAUGUCAACUAGUUGUUGGGGAUUCAUUUCCUUAGUAACGUAGCUAACGCGUGAAGUUGACCGCCUGGGGAGUACGGUCGCAAGAUUAAAACUCAAGGAAUUGACGGGGUCAUAGCUGUUUCCU
rnacentral:rRNA from 1 species